rnacentral:rRNA from 1 species
UCUAGGAUUAGAUACCCUGGUAGUCCACGCCAUAAACGAUGUCGACAUGGAAGUUGUGCCCUUGAGGCGUGGCUUCCGGAGCUAACGCGUUAAGUCGACCGCCUGGGGAGUACGGCCGCAAGGUUAAAACUCAAAUGAAUUGACGAGGGCCCGCACAAGCGGUGGAGCAUGUGGUUUAAUUCGAUGCAACGCGAAGAACCUUACCUGGUUCUUGACAUCCACGGAAGUUUCCAGAGAUGAGAAUGUGCCUUCGGGAACCGUGAGACAGGUGCUGCAUGGCUGUCGUCAGCUCCGGGCGAAA